CUCAGAUCUGAAGGUCGCCACCUCUGAUCCCAUUAUCAGUAAUUUAGAUAGAGUACAGCGAUGUGAUGCACCCAUGCCCACAGUCUCAAGCUUCUUUUGGCGAUAGGCUAUAGCUCCAUGGCUGCAAUGACCAGGUUCUUGCCACACAGCUGCUCCCACCAAAGCUUAGCCUCCAGAAUCAUCAAGAAAGGACUCCUGGGAACCUCUGACAUUAGGGAAACCCUAUGCCCACUGCCUGGGACCAUUGCUGAGAUCAUCGCAGCAGGAGGAUGGUCUCUAAGUUCACAGAGCCGUGAUCCCGGAGAGCAUAGAAGUUUGUGUAGAUGUCCAGAUCCUUGGAAUGUAGGCAUAAACUCCUGCACAACAAUGAUGGCAUUUACAGCUGGCUUGUAGCCCAGUAUGCGCAUUUCUCCUUCCUACCUGUCCUCCCAGGUAACGAUUUCCUUGACGCACAUAUUCCUUAAGAGUUUGAUGGACCCCAUGAAGACAGAAACCAACUUGUCUGACCUUCGGAUAACCAUAUCCCCAUUACCCAGAACAGUGUCUGGACACAAGAGGGA